UUCGGACUGCAGUCUGCAACUCGACUGCACGAAGCUGGAAUCGCUAGUAAUCGCGGAUCAGCACGCCGCGGUGAAUACGUUCCCGGGCCUUGUACACACCGCCCGUCACACCAUGAGAGUCUGUAACACCCAAAGCCGGUGGGAUAACCUUUAUAGGAGUCAGCCGUCUAAGGUAGGACAGAUGAUUAGGGUGAAGUCGUAACAAGGUACC
rnacentral:rRNA from 1 species